rnacentral:snRNA from 1 species
AACCCGAGCAGACUAUUU